rnacentral:lncRNA from 1 species
UUAGAGAGGCGCUGGGGUGUUGUAGGGGCAGCCGCCGUGAACAGUGGGAUGGAGCGUGUUAGGAGGUGCUGGGGUGGGCCGCGCGGGCAGCUCUGUGAACAGUGGUGAUGGAGCGUGUUAGGAGGUGCUGGGGUGGG